UCAGAACCUGCCCAACGACGUGCUAUGCUGAGCUUGACCGCUAUCUUCCUCGACUGAUGACCUUAUUCAGACGGAAGGCAUCAAAAACUGGGAAGACAGCAGAUGCUCUGGCUGAAAUUUUAAAAAUCCAUGAUGAACAGGAAAUCCAUGCCAUACACACCAAGCGCACUACUGUUCUCCACGUCCUUCCUGUGUAUCUGCGUGAGGACGUCUCUGGAUGUUUAAGAACCUGCACAGAUGAGUCUGAUGAGCCAGAGCUUG